GGGAUUAAUGAAUGAAUGAAACACGGCUGCAGAGGAAAUAACAUGAUUUAAGAAGAUAUCUCAGUAGCUCUUUCUCCCUCUGGCUGGAUACUGUUUGACUCCAUCAAAGUGGAUAUUGU
rnacentral:lncRNA from 1 species